AACGAACGCUGGCGGCAGGCCUAACACAUGCAAGUCGAGCGAGGACUUCGGUCCUAGCGGCGGACGGGUGGGUAACGCGUGGGAACGUGCCCUUUGCUUCGGAAUAGCCCUGGGAAACUGGGAGUAAUACCGGAUGAGCCCUUUGGGGGAAAGAUUUAUCGGCGAAGGAUCGGCCCGCGUUGGAUUAGGUAGUUGGUGGGGUAAUGGCCUACCAAGCCGACGAUCCAUAGCUGGUUUGAGAGGAUGAACAGCCACACUGGGACUGAGACACGGCCCAGACUCCUACGGGAGGCAGCAGUGGGGAAUCUUAGACAAUGGGGGAAACCCUGAUCUAGCCAUGCCGCGUGAGCGAUGAAGGCCUUAGGGUUGUAAAGCUCUUUCAGCUGGGAAGAUAAUGACGGUACCAGCAGAAGAAGCCCCGGCUAACUCCGUG
rnacentral:rRNA from 1 species